UUGCAUUAUCAUGAAAAACUUAUGUUUGAUCCGAUAAGGAAGCGCAAGUUCUACUUACUGGGCUAGUGUAGCUCAUAUUCUCUUUGUUUUCUUUUUGUUUGAACAGAGAAAUAAGGUUAGGAUCGGCAAAAAGAAUCCAAGCUUGAAGAUCGACAUAGCAAGCUGAAAAAUUUGACAACAAAAGUUUAAUUUAUUUUAUAAUCAUAGAUUUGUAGUUAUUUAUGAAUGUUGAGAUUCGGGUUAGUAUUUGCUUUUGGAUUUAGAU
rnacentral:lncRNA from 1 species